AGACUAAGGAACCAAACGGAUCUAAAGGCCCUGGAUCUGCCCUCAUGCAGUCUGAACCUAGGUGAUCUCAGAAGGGUGGGUGUGUACCUGGAUUAUGAGGGAGGGCAGGUGUCCUUCUACAAUGCUACGAACAUGACCCAUCUUUACACCUUCACUAGUGUUUUCCUGGAGAAACUUUUCCCCUACUUGUGCCCCUGCCUUAAUGACGGUGGGGAGAAUAAAGAGCCAUUGCACAUCGUACAUCCACAGUGAUUAAGUUAUACUAUUGUAUAAAUUCAGGGCGUUAUUAAAGUAUUGAAAUAGUUC
rnacentral:lncRNA from 1 species